UUGGUAUUGAGCACAUCUGAAUUGAACUCCCUGCAACCUAAACAACAUAUCAUUUUGGUAGCUAAAUGACCAACAAUUAGAACAGCAACACAUAAUCGCAAAUGAGAUAUAAUCAACAUUACUUCAGAUUCUCCUUAUUCAUAGCAUUCCUUUUCUUAUUCUUUUCAAAACAUGUCUAUUCCAAAACUAAUGAAGUUAUUGUUCAGAUCUCAAACUUUUGUGGCACUUGUGCAAAACACAGCAUAAAUUACAACUCAACACAUGCAUGAUCGGCCUGUUAAGUAAUUGACAUGUGAAGAGAGUGAAUACUUUAUAUGCCUUUCGAUCUUGAUCAUCCAGAGUUACUCGCAAGCAUGAAUGAGGCAGAGAAAGAACGAACAGAGGGUGAGGACUAGAAAUCAAAACAUGGAGUUCCUUCAUUUGGUUGCAAGGAAAGGAAGGCAGAGUUGAAGAAGAAGAAGAAGAAGAAGAAGAAGACCAUGAGGACCAUCUCCCCAUCACCAAGUACUAAUGGUGUCAAAAGGUAUCAGAUCGGGUGCUAAAUCUUGCGUUGCAGAAGAACAGGAAUGGCACCAUGGCCCUAUGUGUCUCCCUAAAGCUUUGACUGAUGACAUGGAGCUUCAUGUUCUUCCAUUAUCUAGGAUUUGAAUUAAGAAUGUGAUCCUACUUUAUUUCCCCUCCUUUUUCCCUAAACCCACAACAUUUUGUCCCCCCCUCCCUCAUCAAAUCUUCCACAGUGUUCUGCCGACAAUACUCUCAUCAUCGGGAGUCUUCCAUCCAUUGAUGGCAACUCUCACUUUUGUGUUUCCAUUGAUCAGCUCCUGAAGCCUCAUGAACCUGUGUUUGAUGAUGAAAGAAUCAUCCAUGUUCAACUGAACAUAAGCCAAAAUACUAAACGAUUGUGCUGAUGGAAGUAGGCAAAAUCAUUUCCAUUUCAUUGUUCAGAUAUGUGAGUCUCACCGAGCACUUUUUCAGAAGCAAGCUUCAGCUCAAUCUCUUUUUUCAUAUAAACAGAUGAAUAGUAGAUAGAUUGAAGCAUCAGAGUGUCCUCCAUUCAUGUCAUCCCAAUCACCACAGCCAUCCAGUUUUCAGCUCUGCAUACUGGAUUCUGCAAGUGGAUCAACUUGGCAAAUACAAAAUCAAAUUCAAUCAAGGCUCAAAUGUGAUGUGCCCUCAGCAGAUCUGAGGGAAUAAUCUCCCAGCUAUAAAGCACUGGGGAUAGCCAAUAAAGUUGCUUCAAGAUGUGACUCUGCUGCAACUCAAAAGUCACCUUUAUUGCAUCAGGUCUCACUUCUGCAGCAUCUGCAGUAAGCUGUGACCUGCUG
rnacentral:lncRNA from 1 species